GAGUUGAGCGUAGCGAAACAACGGAGCCGCUCGCGGCGACGGCCCGAAGGGCGAGCGAAGCGAGUCAUCCUGCACGACCCCCCA
rnacentral:sRNA from 1 species